GGCCGUCGGCAGCCACAUCGCGCAGGCGCGGACAGGUGUGCGCCGUUUGAAAGAAUGGCGCCGGCGGGGCGGCUGGUUCUGUGUGAAGAGAAGAUCAGGGGGAAGACCGGGCUGGCGCCUCACCGCGGCCUGGCUGAACUUCAGUCAUUAUCUAUUCCUGGAACUUACCAAGAAAAGAUUACUCACCUAGGAAAUUCUUUGAUGAAUUUAACAGGUCUAAAAUCUCUAGAUCUCUCACGAAACUCCUUGGUUAGUCUAGAGGGCAUCGAGUACCUGGCGGCGCUGGAGCGCCUCCACGUCUACCGCAACCGCAUCUCCUCGCUGGCGGAAGUCUUCCGGCUCCGCUCCUUAACGGAGCUCGCGGAGGUGGACUUCCGGCUGAACCCUGUGGUGGAGAGCAAGCCCGACUACCGCCGCUCCGUGGUGCACACGCUCCCGCGCCUCCGGCAGCUGGAUGACCGCCCUGUGAGGGAGCGUGAGCGGAAAGCAUCCCGGCUGCAUUUCGCUUCGGAGGAAUCGCCGGACUCAACGCAGAGCUUCGCAGCUGUUUUCAGAGUCGAAAGACCGCAUCACUCCAGAGCCAAGUGCACUGACCCCUCGGCCAAGAAGGGCUUGGUCAUGGACGCGGAUGAUGAGGCGGUCCUGAACCUCAUUGCCGAGUGUGAGUGGGACUUGAGCAACCCUCCUGGGAGCAUGAGUUCCAGCCAGCAGGAGCAAGAGGCCAGCUUCCAGAGCUCCCAAGCAGAGUCGCGGCCCCUGUCGAGUCCUGAGUCAGCACGGUACCAGUGCGGGGACGCCCUGAGGAAGGGCCCUGAGAUGCGGAGGAGCGGCUCCAGCGGGGACCGUGCGGGGCCGAGGGUGCAGGACCAGCGCUGUGGCGAGCUCCCCCUGCGGCACUUGGCCCCGUGUCCAGACUCCACGGACACUGAGGACUCAGCCCCCUCUUCUCAGAAGUCAAGUUUAUUGACGCAAAAGGGGUCAAAUCCCUUGCCUGCUCCGGAAAAGUACAGGAAGCGAAGGGUGCCUGGCGGGAGGUUCCAGGCACCUGCGGACCAGGAGCGUCUGCGCUGCCUGGAGGAGAGUCUGAGCUGGCAGAGCGGUCCGGAGGGCUGGAGCGCGGGGCCCUGUUCCCAUGCGGCGGCCUUGGGGCCCGAGCAGCGGAGGCCGCGCAGCGUGAGUGAGGAUCACCUGAGGCAGCAUCUGGACAGAACUCUGGAGGAAAGCAGUAGCUUGAAGUCUCUUCUGUUCAGCGUGAAAAAAGAAGUGAGAAACACCGACACUCCAUCCACACUGAACUUGCAGAUCACUGGACUUCAGACAAGUGUGGAGCGGCUCUCCGGUGAGAUUGUGGAACUGAAGCAGCAUCUGGAGCACUACGACCGGAUCCACGAGCUCACCCAGAUGCUGCAGGAGAGCCACAGGUGCCUGCCCGGGGCAGCGGGCCGGUGGUCCUGAGCCCACGCGUGUCGCUGGGUUGACUUGGAGCUUGUGUGAGCGUCCCCGUCUUACUGAGCAGCGAGGUCCUUCCUGCUGCAGCUUCCUGGGAGGUGUUAAGGGGGGGACGAGGGGCGAGGGAGAGGUGGUGCAGUGUCCUGGAGGCCUGCGCGUGCCCCCUCGGUGUGGUUCUCGGCUGUUCUCGUAGAAACGUGAGGAUUCCACCUUUGCCCCUGGCUCAGAUUUUGUGAAGAGACCUGCGGCUGGCAAGCAGAACCGGAACACUGUUUUCUCGCCGUGAAGAUGGAGUGUUCUUGUCAGAGCGUCGAGGGGCCUCCCCGCCCCUUCAGCUCCCGUGCCAGCGGGGCGCCUGCCGGGCCGGGGCCGGGGAGACGCAGCCCCGCCAGGCGAGGGGCGGCAGCAGGGCAAGCGGGAGGGCCCCCGGGGCGGGGACGGGGCCCGGGGCUGAGCGCCGUCCCCCGCCUCGUCUCCAGGUCCCUGGUCAGCACCAACGAGCACCUGCUUCGGGAGCUGGGCCGGGCGCGGGCGCAGCACCAGGCCGAGGCGGAGCAGCUGCGCUGGA